GCAGGCCUGUAAAGUUAGCACUGGGGUGUGGCUGAGGCAGGAGGGCUCAUUCAGAGUUCCAAAUCAACCUGAGCUACACAGCCAGCCCACAUCUCAAGAAGGCUCUCUAUAUGUCUUGCCUCCUCUUACUGGUUCUCUACUUCCUUUGUUAAUUUUAGCUGCCAGAGAAUUAGAGCUUUCUGGACAGGAGUUCAGCAGCUCUUCAAAUUUCUGAGGCUCUUUCCCAACAGACAUGGCUUGCUCUGUUAAAGCUCAAGAACUCAAUGAAACAAAAAAAGCUACUCUCCACAGGGAAGCACAUCUGCAGCCCGACGCUGCGCAGGUGGGCAGGCUCACCUGUUCCCAAUCUUCUUCUUGCACACCAUGCACACCUUCUCUUCCGUGAUGAUGCACUUCACCUGCUGGUGUAAAAUCCGCUCUUCCUGAACCUGGAAGAGAUUGAGCGUUCCAUGUCCAGACCUCCAUGCUGACUGCUGGAUCACCUGAGCUAUGGCUGCCUCGAUGACAACAGGCUCUCUCUACAUAGGCUUGGCUGUCCUGGAACUAUGUAGGCCAGGCUGGCUUUGAACUCACAGAGAUUGGAUUGGCCUGCUUCCUCCUCUCAAGUGCUGGGAUAAAAGGCAUAUACCACCAUGGCUAGCUGUGUUUCACUUUUUAA